rnacentral:rRNA from 1 species
UAGUCCACGCCGUAAACGAUGGAUACUAGCUGUCCGGUCUUCGGACUGGGUGGCCAAGCGAAAGUGAUAAGUAUCCCACCUGGGGAGUACGUUCGCAAGAAUGAAACUCAAAGGAAUUGACGGGGGCCCGCACAAGCGGUGGAGCAUGUGGUUUAAUUCGAUGAUACGCGAGGAACCUUACCAGGGCUUAAAUGUAGUCUGACAGGGGUGGAAACACCCCCUCCUUCGGGCAGAUUACAAGGUGCUGCAUGGUUGUCGUCAGCUCGUGCCGUGAGGUGUCAGGUUAAGUCCUAUAACGAGCGCAACCCCUAUUUUCAGUUGCCAGCAAUUCGGUUGGGGACUCUGGAAAGACUGCCCGUGUAAGCGUGGAGGAAGGUGGGGACGACGUCAAAUCAUCAUGGCCUUUAUGCCUAGGGCUACACACGUGCUACAAUGGUAGAUACAGAGGGUUGCCAAGCCGCGAGGUGGAGCUAAUCCCAUAAAGUCUAUCCCAGUUCGGAUUGGAGUCUGCAACCCGACUCC